UUGACCUCGGAUCAGGUAGGGAUACCCGCUGAACUUAAGCAUAUCAAUAAGCGGAGGAAAAGAAACCAACCGGGAUUGCCCUAGUAACGGCGAGUGAAGCGGCAAGAGCUCAAAUUUGAAAGCUGGCUCCUUCGGGGUCCGCAUUGUAAUUUGCAGAGGAUGCUUCGGGAGCGGUCCCCAUCUAAGUGCCCUGGAACGGGCCGUCAUAGAGGGUGAGAAUCCCGUAUGGGAUGGGGUGCCCGCGCCCGUGUGAAGCUCCUUCGACGAGUCGAGUUGUUUGGGAAUGCAGCUCUAAUUGGGUGGUAAAUUUCAUCUAAAGCUAAAUAUUGGCCGGAGACCGAUAGCGCACAAGUAGAGUGAUCGAAAGAUGAAAAGCACUUUGAAAAGAGAGUUAAACAGCACGUGAAAUUGUUGAAAGGGAAGCGCUUGCGAUCAGACUCGCUCGCGGGGUUCAGCCGGCCUUCGGGCCGGUGUACUUCCCCGCGGGCGGGCCAGCGUCGGUUUGGGCGGCCGGUCAAAGGCCCCUGGAAUGUAACGCCUCUCGGGGCGUCUUAUAGCCAGGGGUGCCAUGCGGCCUGCCCGGACCGAGGAACGCGCUUCGGCUCGGACGCUGGCAUAAUGGU
rnacentral:rRNA from 1 species